CCAUAUGAAGAUGGAGGCCAUGGAAAUCCUACUGAUGUAAUACCACAAGUCGGCUCCCUGGGUGAGACAGCAGUGGUAUGGAGAAUGAAGGGAAGUAUACAGCAGGUACAGGAUGAAGAAGCAGAAGAUAAUUACACAAUGAUUUUGACCCAGUUCUAUUCAGGAAGAGAAGAGACACCAGCGAUACACAUGCAUAGAAGAAAAACAAUGUAAGACACAGUGAGAAAAUGGCCAUUGAAAGCCAAGGAGAGAAGCCUCAGGAGAAAUCAAAACUACCAACACCUUGAUCUUGGACUUCCAGCUUCCAAAACCAGGAGAAAAUUAAUUUCUGUUGUUUAAGCCACCCAGGUAUUUUGUUUAUGGCAGCCCUAGAAGACUAAUAGAAUACAUUAUAUUGAAUUUAUGUGUACCUAUCUUUUUUCAAGUAGACCAUGAAUCAGAAAAAGGUCAAUUCCAUUCCUACUUUGUAUUUCUAGCAUCCAAUACAGCUCCUAUAUACUAGGUCUAUAAUAAAAUUUAGCUUUAUAAAUAACUUCCAAAAUUGUAACUAUAUAUUCUUCAAAACAUUGUCUUUAUACUCUAUUCAUCUAUCUCCAAGAAUUUAAUUGAAUUUCUCUCUAGACCUUCCCUCUACCUGGAGUUUGAGUAACAAAUUUCCACCUACCUUCUGUUCAUUUUAUUGGCUGUCACAAAAUUUAUUCAUAACUCAUUUAGAAUAUUUGUCUCUACAAGCUAGCUUCUCUUAAUUUCUAUCUCCUUAUACCUAAGUUUGGAAUUUUAGCUUCAUUUCACAUAUCUGUCCACUCCAUCCCACAGAUGGUGAUAUUUGCCCAAAAUGUUUCUCCAAUGUGUAUACAUCUUUCUCAGCACGUCUCUCAAAUCAGCUCUCAUGUGUAUAUGUACUACCGUAAUGGCCAUCUACUUACAUUUUGUUCUAUUUCCCCCUUUCCUUAAAAAUCAUUUUAAGAUACCAAUUAUUAGUUUAUCACUUACAUGUUUAGAUAUAUAAGUAAAAUAUCAGGGCCCAUUAAAAAAUACACAUCAAUUCAUCUUAAAGGAAAGAGAACUAAAAAGGGGCUGAGACUAAAAUUUCUAAAGUGUAAUAGAUUAUGGAUGGAGGAAUAUGAAUUUAUAAGCAGGAAAUAACGUAUGAAAAAUGACAAAAUAUGGUAAUGUCAAAGUGAUUACCACCUUUAAGAGUCAUGACUACAAAUCAAUGAGAUGCAGAAUCUGUAUUUAGCCAGUUUUCAGUUAUCUGGAAAUUGGCUAUAUUGUUGAGGAUUAUCGCCUAUACCCUCUUCUGAAUAUCAAUCUAUUUCCAGUUCGUUCAUCAUUUUGUUUUUCUUUUUUUUUUUUACAUUAUUAUUUUCUUUGUUAUUAUUAUUAUACUUUAAGUUCUAGGGUACAUGUGCACAAUGUGCAGGUUUGUUACAUAUGUAUACAUGUGCUAUGUUGGUGUGCUGCACCCAUUAACUCAUUAUUUACAUUAGGUAUAUCUCCUAAUGCUAUCCCUUGUCCCUGCCCCCCACCCCACAACAGGCCCUGAUGUGUGAUGCUCCCCAUCCUGUGUCCAAGUGUUCUCAUUGUUCAGUUCCCAC
rnacentral:lncRNA from 10 species